UCGCAAGACACGGGGUGCCCCGAGACACGGGGCUGAGAUAAGACCCGUCGAACCUGAACUCAUUCGUAUGAGCGGAGGGAUGUCAUGAUGCGGCGGC
rnacentral:ncRNA from 2 species